AUUGAACGCUGGCGGCAUGCCUUACACAUGCAAGUCGAACGGCAGCGGACCUUCGGGUGCCGGCGAGUGGCGAACGGGUGAGUAAUGCAUCGGAACGUGCCAUUGAGUGGGGGGAUAACGUAGCGAAAGUUGCGCUAAUACCGCAUAUUCUGUGAGCAGGAAAGCAGGGGACCGCAAGGCCUUGCGCUCUUUGAGCGGCCGAUGUCAGAUUAGCUAGUUGGUGAGGUAACGGCUUACCAAGGCGACGAUCUGUAGCGGGUCUGAGAGGAUGAUCCGCCACACUGGAACUGAGACACGGUCCAGACUCCUACGGGAGGCAGCAGUGGGGAAUUUUGGACAAUGGGGGCAACCCUGAUCCAGCCAUGCCGCGUGAGUGAAGAAGG
rnacentral:rRNA from 1 species